GGGCGCUUAGCUCAGCCAGGAAGAGUAUCGGGCUUUUAACCCGAGGGUCGCGGGUUCAAAUCCCGCAGCGCCCG
rnacentral:tRNA from 2 species